GGAGCAUGUGGUUUAAUUCGAAGCAACGCGAAGAACCUUACCAGGUCUUGACAUCCCCUGACAACCCAAGAGAGUCGGGCGUUCCCCUUCGGGGGACAGGGUGACAGGUGGUGCAUGGUUGUCGUCAGCUCGUGUCGUGAGAUGUUGGGUUAAGUCCCGCAACGAGCGCAACCCUCGACCUUAGUUGCCAGCAUUCAGUUGGGCACUCUAAGGUGACUGCCGGCUAAAAGUCGGAGGAAGGUGGGGAUGACGUCAAAUCAUCAUGCCCCUUAUGACCUGGGCUACACACGUGCUACAAUGGGCGGUACAAAGGGUCGCGAACCCGCGAGGGGGAGCCAAUCCCAAAAAGCCGCUCUCAGUUCGGAUUGCAGGCUGCAACUCGCCUGCAUGAAGCCGGAAUCGCUAGUAAUCGCGGAUCAGCAUGCCGCGGUGAAUACGUUCCCGGGCCUU
rnacentral:rRNA from 1 species